rnacentral:misc_RNA from 1 species
AGAUCUUUUUCUUUAGUAGUGGUGCGAAAUUUCUGAUGAUCAAAAUGAAGCUCCACAAAAGCACUGGCUGAGCCCUGCCCAUCUUUGGGCAUAAGGUCGUGAGCACUUACAACCUCCACUCCUAGCUUGAGAUUACUCAUCGAAAAUUUUUAACCAAACACACAAAGGAGUAUUGAAGAACAGUAUUAAAUAGCCACUUCCAGAAAUUGGCAGGAAACUAGUAACCAGUUCCUAACGUUGAAGAGUUCAGCAGAGGAGGUGUAGAAAGAAAGUAGAGGGCUAGAUACGAAGGCCCUAAAAACAGAGUCUUAAAAGAAGAGGGAGAAGAAAAG